GUCUUGUGAGUAUACUCUGUACGCCUGAUUUCCAAUCAGGAGGAUUGUCCUAGGGCAAACAAGAUA
rnacentral:tRNA from 1 species